GUGCUCGCUUCGGCAGCACAUAUACUAAAAUUGGAACGAUACCGAGAAGAUUAGCAUGGCCCCUGUGCAAGGAUGACACAAAAUUAAGGACGUUCCAGAAGGAU